AUGGAUGGUAUUCAUGUGAGGGGAACAUGCUGGAGCAAAGGAUCUGCGUCACGGUCUUAUUUCAUUGCUGAAAAUCACAAGGAUGUAGUGGGGUGUGUCUGCCAUGAACGAGGUGCACCUGGGUAUGAUCUUGCCAUGAACAUGACAGCUUAUCAAGUUUCGUCAGAGUUAUGUUUUGGUUGGCUGAUAGCUUGCAAGAUCUUCAUCUUCUACUAUCUGCUUCCUUCAGUUUGUGUAGUCUACAUAGUAGGCCAUCAUCCAGAAAGGAAGCGAUGGAUUAAAACUUGUGGGUUUAUGGCUCUUUCCUCGUGA
rnacentral:rRNA from 1 species